GAUGAACGCUGGCGGCGUGCUUAACACAUGCAAGUCGAACGAUGAAGCCCAGCUUGCUGGGUGGAUUAGUGGCGAACGGGUGAGUAACACGUGAGUAACCUGCCCUUAACUCUGGGAUAAGCCUGGGAAACUGGGUCUAAUACCGGAUAGGAGCGUCCACCGCAUGGUGGGUGUUGGAAAGAUUUAUCGGUUUUGGAUGGACUCGCGGCCUAUCAGCUUGUUGGUGAGGUAAUGGCUCACCAAGGCGACGACGGGUAGCCGGCCUGAGAGGGUGACCGGCCACACUGGGACUGAGACACGGCCCAGACUCCUACGGGAGGCAGCAGUGGGGAAUAUUGCACAAUGGGCGCAAGCCGGAUGCAGCGACGCCGCGUGGGGGAUGACGGCCUUCGGGUUGUAAACCUCUUUCAGUAGGGAAGAAGCGAAAGUGACGGUACCUGCAGAAGAAGCACCGGCUAACUACGU
rnacentral:rRNA from 1 species